rnacentral:rRNA from 1 species
UACGUAGGUGGCAAGCGUUGUCCGGAUUUACUGGGCGUAAAGAGCGCGCAGGCGGUCGUCCAAGUCGCGUGUGAAAGCCCCCGGCUCAACUGGGGAGGGUCACGCGAUACUGAUCGACUCGAAGGCAGGAGAGGGAAGUGGAAUUCCGGGUGUAGUGGUGAAAUGCGUAGAUAUCCGGAGGAACACCAGUGGCGAAGGCGACUUUCUGGCCUGUUCUUGACGCUGAGGCGCGAAAGCUAGGGGAGCAAACGGG